UGACGAGUGGUGUAGGUCUGUGCUGGGGAAACCGGGCUGCUGAAGCAGAGCUGGCAAACUUAACCACUAUGCCACCGGGCCAGCUCCCUUGUCUACAUAGCUUUAAAGACUAAAGAUGCGUCCAAGCUUUCAAGGACACAGAACAGCAUGGAGAAUGAGCUGUGUUGAACAUAACCUCUAAACAAAGCAUGGAGAUAGAGAUCCCAAGAGAAGGGGGCACGCAGGGGCAUUGAAUGCCACGCCACGAAAGGCCAUAUGGAGAGGCACGAGGAUCCAUCAGGAUGCAGAGGGAGCAAGAGGAAGAUGUGAGCCCCAGCCUUUAUUGUGGUUUCCACGAGGCAGGGGCAAACCAGGGCUACAGGAAAAGGACAAAAGCAUCCGCAGACGUGAACACUGACUGACCUUCUACACCAGCACGUACACACAUGUGCACCUGCAAAGCUUGAGGUCGGCACAGCAGGUAAGUGUGUGCUAGCGAUGUGGUCACUUGAAGACGUGGUCACUAUAUCUGCACUAACCACUUUAGUCUCUGCUUCCUGCACACCCUUGGGUCCCCUGCAUUGUACGUAGGAGAACGUUUAAUGGAAGUCAUUUAUUCUGCACUGUCUGUAAAAAUGCAUUUCCCCAAGCGAGUUACUUCAUAGCUCAAUCUUGCUAUAGCACAGCAAGUACUCAUCAUUUUCAUAAGCACUGAUCCUACAUCCAUGCCUUACCACUAGAUCUGUCUUGCCCAGUAGUUUUAAAAGUGAAAUGUUUUGGCUUCUUUUUUUCCAUUGCAAGAAACUCUGACUCUAUGUUUUCAUGACUGCUUUUCUCAAAAACAUAUGAUUUUCACCUGAACCCAAGGGCUAUAUUCCCCUAACUUCCCGAUUGCUUCUUGCGCUCCAGCAUGAGAGUGGAAAUCUGAUGUAAGUCCAAUGACUAAGACCUGUCAACAAAGGAUGGACCUUCCUUAAGGAUUUUGAGAGUCAAUGUGCCAUGCAAGCAUAGCUAGGACAGAAGUUGGUAUUUACAAUACCCUCUGCCUCUGGAGAAGAUUCAGCCCAAGGACCACCCAUGGUUGGUUAAGAGGGGUGCUAAGUAGGAGGUUGCAAAUUGGAGAAGCAGAGAGGGUGAAAUUGUUCUACUAAGAAAAGGAAUAUGAAGAAGGGGAGAGCAUGACCCGGGAAGGGGGCGAAAGCUGAAACUGCACCAGGAAGGUUGCUCAAAAGAGGACUCGUGGGAGGAAAACUACUCGAAGGGAAGGCAGGCAGAGAAUUGCUUCAGGUCACUUCAGGGAGUUUUCCUGUGCAACACAUCCUUUGUUCUAAUUUCUCAUGAAAGCAUCAGUAAAAUCAACACUGCUUGUCUCCAUUUGUAGGACCGGAUUUGGCGUGUGGGUGGGAAAGCCCUGAGCCUGGCACGGAGUCAAAGGGAAGUCUUCUCACAUGUGGGUUUUCGAGAAGAUGGCUUUUCAGUGGUAGAUGGCAAACCAAAAUCAAACAAUGAAAUAGGACAGAAUUCCAGUCCAUCUGGCGCGGGCAAAGGAGAAGAUGCAGCAGGACAAUGGAUGUACAUAUGUUCUCUCUUUUCUUUUUCCGAAGAGAUCCCCCUUGGAAUAUUUUUGGACAAAUGUUCAGGUGUCACGGUCCCUCUGUGGGAGAGACCUUCAAAAGCCCAUUUUUCUCCACUCCAGCAAGCAAACGGCUUUAGGAAGAAGGGGAAGGAGGCAGGCUGGAGAGAGGAAGGGAAGGGAGUGUAGACAACCUGUCAGCGAAAUGCAUCAUCUUAGCUUGCAUUUGGUGUGAACACGUAUGUUAAUGCCCAUCUGCUGAGAAAAUCCACCAGAGAUUUUCGGUGUUUCCACGUGAUGAUAGGACCCAUGUUUCCAUUUCCUCCCAGCUGCCGGGAAGGGGCCCCGCUUCUAAGAGAAAAAAAAUCAAUGACGUCCCUUCGUUGCCUGGUGCACUAGCUCUAAUUUCUAGAGCUGAGGAUAAAAAUCACACCUCCGAGCACCAGGCCUUGGAGCGCACACCUGUGCCUGAAAUAGCCUCCUAAAUGGGGUAUUAGCGGUCUCAGCGCAAUUGCCUCUGCUGCCGUUGAGUGACUAAACAUCCUUGACAAAAUCACUUCCUUUCCUACCGUCACACUUUCUCCAACCAAGAAGAUAAUCUCCUUCCCUCCUUUCUGGAGGAAAAAUCAGCAGCCUUCUUCGCUGAAGUUAACCCUUUCACAUCUUCCCUGGACACCUUCGCUUUAUCUUGACAAAACUCAUGGUCUGUUUCAUUUCUUGAUUCUUGUUCUCCGGAAACUCUUAGCAUCACUUGAUGCUCUCAGACUCUCUUCACGGGAUGUCUAGGUACCUGUCCUGACUUUCCUCCACCUGUUUGACUGACCAGUUCUCUGUUUUCUUUGCUGGUUCCUUUUCCUCUUCUUGACCACAGACUUUGGGUAUCCCCAAAAGCUUUAUCCUUGACUUCUCUCUUCUUUUCCCUGAAUUCUUACCCUUUCUCCUACCAUUGGUCUACGUAUCACCUCUAACUGGAAAGCACUCAAAUUCUUAACUCCAGGCCUAAGAUAUCAUCACCAUAUGCCAAUCAGCUGUAAGGGCUUUUUCAUUCAAUUGUUCCACAGUCACCCCAAACUUAAUAUGUCUCAUGCAUAACCACAAAUACCUCCAAACCACAAGUAAGUCACUCUUCCCUUCGUCUCUAUCCCAUAAUGACAUCUCUUUUCCUCUUCUAAUCACAUGCAGCCAGAAAUCACCAAACCCUGUGCGUCUUGGUUUAACUUGCCCACCACUCUUGGCAUCCAUUCUUCUCUCCCACCGUGACCUCAGUCCUCCGCUCCAUCUCUCUGUCAGAUAAACCAUCCUAAAACUGUCUCCCAUUAAAUAGCAAGUCUGAUGGAGAAAGGACCUCUGGACUAAGUGGGUGUGCUGGUCACGGUAGUGUUGGCAGGGAACAGCAUCUUUAAAGAAGAGAAGGGGGCAGGCUAAAUCCCCAUGGCCCCCAGCAAGAAAGAUGAAGAAUACAGGAGCUCAUCACCCAGACCCGUGACCAGUCCAGGCGGAGGAGAGCUCUGCCUCCUUCCCUACCCAAUUCCUUUCUCUUGAAAGUGCUCUUUUGGUCCAUUAAGAUCCUCCCUGUACUUUAGAGCCAAAGCCAGUGCUCCUUCUCCUUUGUGAAUUCUUUCCCUACUAUGUCAGUUCCUUCUGCAACCCCUUUAGCAUCUCCUUGAUGUGAUCAAAUGUUGCCUGACAUUGACGUUUAACUGUUUCAGUUGAGCAUGUCUUAGAUCACCUUUCCUCCAGGCAUGAGGAAGAAUAUCCUCUGCUGUGUUCUAGAAAAAUUUUAAGGUGGCACGACUGAAUUAUCAAUGAUUGGAGGAAAGGAAUCAUAGCUUAUAAUGCCCUUGUGGUCUCAGUGCUCUGACAAAGAACCAUGCAUACAGUAGGCAAUUAAAGACAUUUAUUUAUUGAACAGCUACUUUGUUCCAGACACCAGUCUACAUAACGACAUACAAUGAACAAAAGAGACCAAAUUCCUACCCUAACAGAGUUAAUUUUUCAAUGAGAUGAGGAGGAAUAGAAGGAGAGUGGCAGA